AGAAUCAACGCUGGCGGCGUGCCUAACACAUGCAAGUCGAACGAGAAAGUGGAGCAAUCCAUGAGUAAAGUGGCGACCGGGUGAGUAACACGUGACUAACCUACCUUCGAGUGGGGGAUAACAUCGGGAAACCGAUGCUAAUACCGCAUAACAUCGCAAGAUCAAAGCAGCAAUGCGCUGGAAGAGGGGGUCGCGGCUGAUUAGCUAGUUGGCGGGGUAACGCCCACCAAGGCGAAGAUCGGUAGCCGGCCUGAGAGGGCGCACGGCCACACUGGAACUGAAACACGGUCCAGACUCCUACGGGAGGCAGCAGUGGGGAAUUUUGCGCAAUGGGGGAAACCCUGACGCAGCAACGCCGCGUGGAGGAUGAAGCCCCUUGGGGCGUAAACUCCUUUCGACCAAGACGAUAAUGACGGUACUGGUGGAAGAAGCACCGGCUAACUCUGUGCCAGCAGCCGC
rnacentral:rRNA from 1 species